GAUGAACGCUGGCGGCGUGCCUAACACAUGCAAGUCGAGCGGACUUGAAGGAGAACUUUCACUCCUGAGAGUUAGCGGCGGUUGGGUGAGUAACAGGUAGUCAACCGUCCCCAAAGACUGGGAUAACUACCGGUAACGGUCGGUAACAGCGGAUAAUUCAUCACAAAGCAUUAAGUUAUAAUGAAAGUCGUAGCAAUCUGUCACUUCGGGAUUAGCUUGCGGCGCAUUAGCUAGUUGGUGGGGUAACGUCCCACCCAGGCGACGAUGCGUAGCCGACCCGGGGGGGUGAACGGCCACACUGGAACUGAGACACGGCCCAGACUCCUACGGGAGGCAGCAGUAGGGAAUCUUCCGCAAUGGGCGAAAGCCUGACGGAGCAACGCCGCGUGAGUGAUGAAGGUUUUCGGAUCGUAAAGCUCUGUUGCCAAGGAAGAACGUCUCAUAGAGUAACUGCUAUGAGAGUGACGGUACUUGAGAAGAAAGCCCCGGCUAACUACGUG
rnacentral:rRNA from 1 species